GGCCAGUCUAGGGUAGCUCCCGAAAAGGCAGGAUUCCCGCUUGCCCUGACUGGUCCAUUUAAUUGGGG
rnacentral:sRNA from 1 species